AACGGAGGACGCAAGCGUUAUCCGGAAUUACUGGGCGUAAAGCGCGUGUAGGCGGCGGGUUAAGUCAGAUGUGAAAGCCCCUGGCUAAACCGCGAGAGGGGCCGUGAUACUGGACGCCUGGAGGGGGUGAGAGGGAAGCAGAAUUUCGGGUGUAGUGGUGAAAUGCGUAGAGAUCCGGAGGAAUACCAGAGGCGAAGGCGGCUUCCUGGGACUUGCCUGACGCUGAGACGCGAAAGCGUGGGGAGCGAACGGG
rnacentral:rRNA from 1 species